GAUUAUGCCUUUGUUGUAUUCUCAUCUUUGUCACAUCAGGCCUGUGCCAGGUAUUUGUUGAAAUUCCACACUCCCCGCAGGGAGAGCGGUCCACUCACAGCUCUCCCCUUGGAUUUCCUGAUAACCUGGCUCAGUACUAGUUACUCUAAAACACUCUGAAGUUACCAUUGACCUCCUUCUCUCAACGGACGGGAACUCAUCUUGGG
rnacentral:lncRNA from 1 species